rnacentral:rRNA from 1 species
UACCGUGAACUGCGAAUGGCUCAUUAAAUCAGUUAUCGUUUAUUUGAUAGUACCUUACUACUUGGAUAACCGUGGUAAUUCUAGAGCUAAUACAUGCUGAAAACCCCAACUUCGGAAGGGGUGUAUUUAUUAGAUAAAAAACCAACGCCCUUCGGGGCUUCUUGGUGAUUCAUAAUAACUUUACGGAUCGCAUGGCCUUGCGCCGGCGACGGUUCAUUCAAAUUUCUGCCCUAUCAACUUUCGAUGGUAAGGUAUUGGCUUACCAUGGUUUCAACGGGUAACGGGGAAUUAGGGUUCGAUUCCGGAGAGGGAGCCUGAGAAACGGCUACCACAUCCAAGGAAGGCAGCAGGCGCGCAAAUUACCCAAUCCCGACACGGGGAGGUAGUGACAAUAAAUACUGAUACAGGGCUCUUUUGGGUCUUGUAAUUGGAAUGAGUACAAUUUAAACCUCUUAACGAGGAACAAUUGGAGGGCAAGUCUGGUGCCAGCAGCCGCGGUAAUUCCAGCUCCAAUAGCGUAUAUUAAAGUUGUUGCAGUUAAAAAGCUCGUAGUUGAAACUUGGGUCUGGCUGGCAGGUCCGCCUCACCGCGUGUACUUGUCCGGCCGGGCCUUCCUUCUGGAGAACCUCAUGCCCUUCACUGGGCGUGUUGGGGACCAGGACUUUUACUUUGAAAAAAUUAGAGUGUUCAAAGCAGGCCUUUGCUCGAAUACGUUAGCAUGGAAUAAUAGAAUAGGACGUGCGUUCCUAUUUUGUUGGUUUCUAGGAACGCCGUAAUGAUUAAUAGGGACAGUCGGGGGCAUCAGUAUUCAAUUGUCAGAGGUGAAAUUCUUGGAUUUAUUGAAGACUAACUCCUGCGAAAGCAUUUGCCAAGGAUGUUUUCAUUAAUCAGUGAACGAAAGUUAGGGGAUCGAAGACGAUCAGAUACCGUCGUAGUCUUAACCGUAAACUAUGCCGACUAGGGAUCGGGCGAUGUUCUUUUUCUGACUCGCUCGG